UAAAAAUUUAAUUUAAAAUAUUGAAGUAGUAUUAGUUAAGAUCUUGAAAUUUAAAAAAUUUGGCGGUAUUUUAGUCUAUUCAGAGGAACCUGUUUUGUAAUCGAUAGUCCACGAUGUAUCUUACUUAAAUUUGUUUUUAUAGUUUAUAUAUCGUCGUUUAUAGAAUAUUUUAUAAAAAAAAUAAUUUUCUUAAUUUUUUAUUUAAAAAUAUAUCAGAUCAAGAUGUAGCUUAUAUUUAAGUUUAUAAUGGGUUACAAUUUUAAUAUUAAUGGAUGUAAGGUUGUAAAUUGCUUAUUGAAAUUGGAUUUGAUAGUAAAUUUAUAUAGAUUAAUAAUUUGAUUAUAGCACUAAAAUAUG
rnacentral:rRNA from 1 species